AGCCUCCAGUUCCCUUGCCCCUCAGAUCUACACAUUGGUCUGAGGAGCUACAAAAGGGGGAUAAGUAAAGCUAACCUUGGAUUCUUUCCAAGUUUAUUUCAGACAAAU
rnacentral:snoRNA from 1 species